rnacentral:RNase_P_RNA from 1 species
AACGCCAGCUGUCCUGUCGCACCGAUGUAUUUCGGUGAGGAAAGUCCGGGCAACACAGGGUACCGUACUUCCUAACGGGAAGGGGUUUUAGAAAUAAGGCCACAGAAAGUGCAACAGAAAAUAAACUACCCCUGUCUAUUUUUAGAGAAGGGAAAAGGUGAAACGGCGAGGUAAGAGCUCACCGCCCCGGUGGUAACAUUCGGGGGCAAGGCAAACCUUACGGGUUGAAAGGCCAAAUAAACCCUGAAUAGUGAAGCUGCCCGCUUCCGCGUUUGGCUGAAAAGUUGAAACUUCAGGGAGGGUAGGCUGCUAGAUCGCAAUCGCAAGAUUGAGGCAAGAUAAAUGACAGGACACGACAGAACCCGGCUUACAGGCUGGCAUUAUUU